UACGUAGGGGGCAAGCGUUGUCCGGAAUCAUUGGGCGUAAAGCGCGUGUAGGCGGUUUGGUAAGUCUGCUCUGAAAGCCCGGGGCUCAACCCCGGGAGGCGGGUGGAUACUGUCAAGCUCGAGUCCGGAAGAGGAGUGUGGAAUUCCUGGUGUAGCGGUGAAAUGCGCAGAUAUCAGGAGGAACACCGAUGGCGAAAGCGGCGCACUGGACCACAACUGACGCUGAGGCGCGAAAGCUAGGGGAGCAAACAGG
rnacentral:rRNA from 1 species